GACGUAGGGGGCCAGCGUUGCUCGGAAUUACUGGGUGUAAAGGGUUCGUAGGCGGUGUGGCAAGUCGGGAGUGAAAUCUCUGGGCUCAACUCAGGGGCUGCUUCCGAAACUGCCGUGCUAGAGUGUGGGAGAGGCGCGUGGAAUUGCAGGUGUAGCGGUGAAAUGCGUAGAUAUCAAGAGGAACACCUGAGGUGAAGACGGGUUGCUGGGCUGAUACUGACGCUGAGGCGCGAAAGCUAGGGUAGCAAACGGG
rnacentral:rRNA from 1 species